AUUGAUCACCUGAGGGGAGCCAUGAGUCAGCCAGAGGAGCACAGCUGAAGGCAAUUCACCUGUGCUGCCAGAAGGGGUGGAGCCUGGCUGCACCUCUCCUAGACCUAUUUAAGAGCUGGCUGCCAGAGUGGAAGGAUCUCUUCUGGAGAUCACCUCUCUUGGUGUUUUAUGGUGAGCUCAGCUGAAGGAAUAAGGAGCCAGCUAAGAAGCUAAAUCUGCUUGCAAGCCUCAACACUUGAAUAAUCAUGUGGCAAUCAUUAUCGUAUGAAGAUGAACAAUUAUUAGCCAUAAUUGUCUAAUGAGAAGAGAUACUCUACGUGUGAUGGAUGCCCACAGAAGAUGUGUGGGCACACUGCAUACAGCAAUUUGCCCUUCAGUGUCCAGUGCAUCAGGAGAGAUCACCAGUCCUCACUUCUUAUCUGGUGUUUCAUAGCAUUCUUCUACAAGCAAAAAGCAAAUAAUCUCUGCUUUCCUUAAGGUACAAAUGGCUGUGUAAAGGAAACUGGUAAUAAAACUCCACCUUACAGUGAAAGCCUAUUGAUGCUUCCCCUAACUGUCCUUUGCCAAGACCUAAAAUAACAACGUAUUGAAAGUUAAAUUAUGGGUAUAUAUAUUUUUUUUUUCCACAAAGAAUUUGUCCAGUAUUAACUCUGCUCAUGUGUGGCUUCUGAGUAUCCUGGAUGUUAUUCUGGGUGCCACUGCAGCUGGGGAUUUAGUAACAGACAGAUGUAUCUCCAUGGCUGUAGAUGUGCCUGUGUUUCCCCACUCAGCAGCAUGGUGCCUCUAUUGGUCAGUUACAUCAGCACUGCUCCUUUGUUCAGGAUGCCAUCUGGAAAAGUCUUCUCACAAUGCCCACUUUCCUGGUUGAACCAAUUGUCAGUGAUUUCAGAGUAGCC